AGGUUUUCAUGACGUGAGAACUCUUGAUACAUUAAAAAUUAGCAGAUGAGUUGUAACCCCCUGAGAAUAUAUACAUCUAUGGUUCUUGGUUUGAGAAACUCAAGAGUCUGCUCAAAGCUGGGUGUGGUGGUACACACCUAUAGUCCCAGUGCUAGCAGGCUGGAGGAUUCUGAGUGUGAGGCCACCUUGAGCUACAUAGUGAGUUCAAAUACAGUCUAAAUUGCAUAGUGAAACCCUGUGACAGACAGACAGUCUUCCCAGAGGAGGUGGUGCCUGUUAUGAUAGCAAAGUGCUGCCACAAAGGUGCACUAGCUUCCAAAGCAGAGGGUAAUGAUUUGCGUUCUGUGGUGCCACCACUAGCCAGACGACUUCAGAAUGGAGAUUUUAUUCCUCUAGGCCCUCAGUUUUCUAAAAAAAAAAAUAGUGUUCACAAGAUGAUGGGGGUCCUGAGUUCAUUCCCCUGUACCAAGAAAACAACAACAACAACAACAACAACAACAAACAACAAGAUGGUGGGGCCAAAUGUGACCACAAAGACACAAGCACUGUGACCUUUGUCAACCAGGGUGGGCUACACAAAACGCUGGUGUGGGGCAUGGCCAGUGGAGGGAGCCGGGUGCCCAUUGUCUGGGCUACUCCUCCUGGUCCAAGUGUCCAAGUAUGAGAGUGGCUGGUUGAAAGCAGAGGACUUGAGUCCUGUAGGGCAUUCUGCUCUUUUGUGAAGAUGGAGAGAUACACAGGGCCUGUCCUGACUCUCAUCCUUGAUCCAAAGGAUGAAAACACUGAGUGACAGUUUCUGCAGAGGACCAUGGUGGCCCUGGGGCAGGGCUGGGUGGGCACAGGCACCCUGCAUGCUGCUUAAGAACCUCAGAGUCCAGCCUUCCUGCAGGACUCUUCCUCUGCUAGGAUGCAUGGGACAGAUUCCCCCAACCAAAUAAGGGUUGAGACAUGCAUGGGCCCACAUGGGAAAGAGGCCCUGAGAGCUCAGCCUAGCAUCCCUCCCUGGAGACCACCUUGGGGGACCCCAUGCCCAGGAGUGAGUAGCAUUGGUGCCCUUGAGGGGUUGGGUGAGAGCUGUACAUCCAUAUGCUAGGUGGCUGAGAGGAGCCAUUGGCGGGAACUCAGGUGCCUGGAGAGGAGAUUAGACCUGAUGAGGCUUUGGAGGUGUGUGAAGAUGAGAACUAUGUAAGCUAAGGUGGGAGUCUUGUCCUCACAGUGGGAGGUAGCCCACCGGGGGUUCCACUCCUCUCUGAGUGGGCAGAGUGGACCUAGGUCCUCCACUGAGAGCUCACAUGUCCUUGUUGGCCAGGAUUGCUUCCCUCUCCUCUCUCUUUCUAGAACUCUGAAUGGCUUUAAUCAUAACUUGGACAAAGAUCUGCAGUGCGGGGCCAGCUCACUGUCACCUUCUGGUCCUUCAGUCUCAAAGACUUUGCUGUGUUUAUGUCCAUGUGCUCUAUCCAGCUCUGCUCGUGUCCACAUACAGUUGAGCGUGUGAUUGUCAUGUGGAUGUGGAAUGGGUUUCAGUGGUGGGGAGGGUUUGAAGGACAGAGGAUUGGUGCAGAAGGAUGGAAGAAGGACAGAGGGGGGUGCAGAAGAAGGAAUCAGAGACAGAGGCUCAUGUCAGGUAAUGUGGAGGUGGCUGGAGGUCACCCUGCUGCAGGUACUACGAUGUUAGUCUCCAUACCCACUAAGGAGACUGGACAUUCCCUCCCCUUCCUGAUACAAGUCUCUGCUCCAACCCCAGCUGGGUCAUUUUCUCCCGGAAUCCAGAUGCUGUUGUCCAGCCACCCAGGGAGAAGCUGCAGCAUGAGCUUCCCCAGUGAUCUACUAUCUUCUCUUUGAGGAGUCCAUUACAGACCCAAUUCAGAAUAGUUUUUUGCUCUGGAGCUGGUUGGACCCAAGGUUAGCCUGCUGAUUCUGGUCCAUUGGAACAAUUUUUUUUUUUUCAUUACUGCUUAGUAAUUAACAUCUAGGAGCAGAUGAGAGAAAUUUAGGGAGUAUUUGAAUCUGAAAUCCAGCAGCACAGAGCUGUGAGUGGCAUGGCAAGGUUGGGCUGCUGCAAUCGAUAUAUUUAUUGUCCGAAGCUGACUGUCCAAUGAGUGAGCUCCGUUUGUCACUUCAGAUGGAUAGGGAAUCACUCUCUGUUUUUAUUAUUUCAAUUCCUGUCCUUCAUGGGGUUGUGGUGAAUUAGCUCAGUGCCAUUUUCUAAAAUAUCAAGCAUUUUUAUACAUUAGGUAUAGUGAAUGGCAAAUACUUGAUGUAAAGUCUGCAGUUUUACUCCAUAACCAGAUUGUAAAAUAUGAACUGAAUUAAUCAUAACUGCGAAGACUAAUGGUACGUUUUCUCUUAUUUUAUCUUUAGUGCCUUUCAGAUCAUGUUUUAAAACCUUCCACGUCUGGCGUUGGGAACGCAGCCGCGGCUUGGUGGUGGAUAGCAAGAGGCAAAGCUGUACUCUCAUUGGAAACAGAAAUUAAGCUUGUCAUUAGAUGCUGGGCCACAGGAGUUGACUGAACAGGGUAAUGUAUGUUAUAUUCUGUGCUAUACUUGGUCAAGUUUCAUAUAUAUCGUAUUCCACAUUAUUUUAUUAACUUUAAUAUCUGCACUUCCUAUUACCAGACAUGCCCCUCAUUCAAAGCACAGAGGCACAGUCCUCUAAUCAGAAGUGACAGGCUAUAUACUUUCUCUCAGCCAUUACUCGGUAGCCUAGAGCAAAGAACUAUGUUUCCUUGAAAAUGUUUUGAAUUGGGUUAUUUUUAUUGAAGUAUUAAAGUAAUUCUUCAGAUUUUAGGCUAUUAUUUAAGUACUUUUGGGAGAAUACAAUAACCUCCGGAUUCUAUAGGCUUUGUUACUCUAACACUAAGCUGCUAAAUGCAUCUUUUUAAUGCUGGUUAUGUAAGUGUCUCGGAAUUCAGCUGACCAGAGGAAGCUAAGAGCAUUCAGGUAAUUAUAGAAAAUUAGUAGGCUAAAUUAGUUUAGGAAAGAACAAAAGUAUAAUAUUAAAACUUCUUGCAAAAUAUGGGCUCUGCUUGCCAGAUUUUCAGUGACAAAUUAGCAUUUCUAAUUAUUUUGUCUUUGUGUUUUUGUUAUUUGAUUGAAAUAGCCAAUAGCUGGUUAAGAAAGCUACAGUGGGCAUUGGUCGACAUAGUUGAGAAUGGAGCAGUGAUUUCAGGAAUGAUUCUAAUCCCGUUCCUAAGGUCACUUACCAUAGUGUUGGAGGAGGCAGCAAUGAACAAAGCCAGGCUCUAACUCGGAGUAUUGGGGAGGAAAACCUACAGUCAGAUAGCUUUGUUGUCAGAUGUUUUGGAGAUCAUAGUUUACACCACAAAGAGUGUCUUAUAGCCUCAUGUCUGGAGCUGGCUCUAUUUUAUCAACAGAAAGUGAUAAAGUGGAGAUAAGUCACAAGCACACCUUGUUCCAACUUGCAUACAGCACUUUUUGGGGCACAGUCCUGCCCUGGGUGUCCAGUAACAAGUGUGUCACCUGAAACUUGGGAGACUUAAAUUGAAACAGUUAGGAAACUGAAACUUAGAAGAAUUAAAAUUCACUGACAUGCCCAGUAUGCACCAAGCUACAGUCCUUCUGUGUUGUCUUAUUGCAACCUCUUUGCUUUGCUGUCUUCUCUUGCCAGGAGAGGCCCAAAGAGAAGAUGCCAUCUGUUCAUGGCCAAGGAUGGAAAGGGCAGAGUUGAGAUUGGAACUCAAUUUCAGAGCCAAGAGUCUUCCACUCUGCCAUGCAAUACCUCUCCAAGUGAACCUGAGAAAGGUUCCAACUCAUUCUUUUCCUUUCAUCAACUUUCAGUUUGUUUGCAACUCAUCAUUUCUCUUGUGACCCAGAGAUGGUAAGGUAUCAAGAAGCUUUAGAAAGAAUAGUUUCCAAUACACAGCUAGGACCCAAAUAAGAAAAUCAGCAUUACACCACAGAAAAAUAACUGGACCCUGUGGCGGCCCUCUCGUAGAUACAUUAUAAUUCACCUUUGAAUGUAGGAAAAGAAACAGGAUGAGCCAUGUGCUAAGUGCAAAUAUUCUAGGGACUCCAGCUGUAAAGUAUCCUGGGAUAGAGUUGGAAUUCAUUAAAAAAUUUCUAUCCAAUGGUCUAAGUAGAUAUCUAGUAGAUAUGAAACAGGCAAGUCUAUAUCACCAGCAGAUAUGCUAAAGCAAAUGUAAAUUUGAAAGGCACUAAAAGCAGAAGUGACUCCAAAGCAAUCAGCUGGACAUGAUAGAACUGGUGGGCCUCACCUUUGGGUGACUGCUCUGGGCACUAUAGUUCUAGCCCUGGAACCAAGACCAUCCCUGACCCAGCAUGCUGAGAUGCUGACCAGAUAGCUGUGGUUAUUAUCCGCACCAACCCAUAUUUCUGCGCUGAGGAUGUGCAUUUACAAAAACACAGUCUUGGAUCUUGAAGAACUUAUAAGAAUGCAGAAAUAGAGUGUGGCUAUUUGGGGAUUUUUAUUUAGCAGCUGCCUGCAUCUUAGCAUGUUUCAGGCAAACCCAUACACUGUGAUUCCGACUGGCCCCAAAUUAAACUUCCUCAAAAUAGAAGUGCUCUCUGGGAAGAAAUGGACAGAGAACAACUGUCUUGGAAUGGAUCCAACCUGGCUCCCAAGGGGCGGAAGCCCAGACACCCAAGUGUGUGGAACAGCAGGACACACCCUGCAACUGCCCAACGGCCCUUGGAGCGUGUGGAGAACAGUCACAGAACCACGGGAAAUCCGUCUGUCACUGUCGCUGGACCUGAUUGUUCUGUGAGUCUCCACUGCGUUGUCAGCUUGGCAUGUCAUCCAUCUUUUCACAAAUGGCAACGCGGGGUCACUGGAACCCAGGUCUGGCCCUUGCCCGUGGGAAGGUAAGGGCUGGCAGGUGGCAGUGAUGGAGGCUGGUGAGGAGUCUCCAGGCUGGGCCAGAAGCCUAGAGAGGUGUCUGCCUCCAGCCCUGACGCUCGCUCUGGUGCUUCUUUUCCUUGAGCCAUGCUCUGAGCUAGGGCCAGGCGCUCAAAGGCCACCAAGCACACUGCCCGCACUCUUGUGGGUCAGAGACUAAUCCAGCCAACGCCCCAGUGAAUAUUUAAUGACAGCAGUGAUCAGUGCAAGGGGGACAGCGUGCUCGGGGCCACAGCGAAUGAAACAGCCAGAUUGUGCCUUGCAUGGUCUGAGUCUGCCUUGAUUUAAUAUUUUGAUAAUUUUACUCAUUAUGAGUUUUAAAACAUGCAUUCAUUUUGAUCUUUAAAAGAUUGUAUUCACCUUGAUUGUUGAGUUUCUUUGGGAGCAGUGUGAAAGUCUACCCUAGACCUUCAGGAUAAUUAACUUAUUACUCCGAGCCCAAAACGCUCCUUUACUGCUACCUGCAGCUUCCUGCAAAGCAGCUCCAUGUCUGUCUCCUGUGCCUCUGGCUGGGUUUCCAGAGGCCAGAGCACACAAGCAGGGCUCAGGCUCAGCUUUGCAGGAGGGACUCGGGGAUAGUCCCAGGCCUGCACUCCUCACGGCGUUCCCAGGGUGGAAGAAGCUCCAGCUCUGCAGUUCUCAUGUCCCUCUCUGAGGAGACACUCAGAAGGUUCAGCCUUCUCCCCUAGGCCAUCAGGCAUAGGCUGGGUCAGGAGGUGCUACAUGCUGAUCCCUCUGGGGGCACCCUUGAAUGUGAAGCUUCACUCGGUAAAGGGCAUGUUCUACACUGUGGAAGUUUAAGCCCUGCUCCCAGAGGAUUGAUUCACUGCCUGCCCAGCCACGUGACCCUCUGCUCAGCUCCCCAGGGCUCUGUGGGGGCCACAUGGUGCAGGGAUUUUAUUCCACACUGGCCACUUCCAGUAUAGUAUUUUCUUGCUGUCUUUUUUCUUAGUUCUCCAGACUUCCUGGAGCUUCCUCUGUCUUUUGGUUUGGAUGAUCUCCUCAGCCCUGAGCAGGCUGGCAGUGGGCCAGGCUCUCAGGAAACAGCUGCCCAUUCCAACUGUGUGGUUCUUUCUGGGUCCCUUAAAUGACUAGCCUGAGGGGAAGCAGCACCCUUGGUUGAAAAUGUGUCAUCUCCACUGGGGGGUGGUGACAUGUGCCUGUAAUCCUAGCACUCUGGGAGGCCGAGGCAGGGGGAUUGCAAGUUUAAAUGCAACCUGGCCAACUGAUCAAGACCCUGUCUCAAACUGAAAAAUUAAAAAAGGCCUGGACACGUGGCCCUUGAAGACCUUGGGCUCCAUUCUAGUACAACAACAAAAAAAGUGUCUCUUUUUGGGGAGACUGAGUGCAGUGAAGGUGACUGAGGGGUACCUUUGACAGGGACAGCCAGCCCCACAACAUGCCAGUGGGGUGUAGGAGGCAGCCGUGAUCUGGGGAAGCUCUGGCUCCUACACAGGGUGUCACCUCUGUUUCCUCUUCACAACCCACUCAGGGGCUUUCCCUAGUGACGGGCGCGGUGACACGGACAGUCCCUAGAGUGUCAGCCUGGUGGGAGAAAGAGGGUCAUUGUGGGGGAUCCCUUCCUUCCUGCUAUGUCCCACACUGACUGUGGGGUUGGCGUGGCAGAGCAUGUGUUAGGAAUCUAAUGGGGGAAUCCCAAAGUGAGUAGCUUGUGUCUGUGUUGGUUAGGAACGGUCCUCUGCCUCCUAACUAUUUUGCCUCCAUCCCUUGCCGAAGACCACGUCCAUGCCCAGAGGUGGCGGUGAUGUCGACCCCUGAUGAAAUGCUCCUCUCCAGGGUGCAGGACGUCUCAUGGUGUCUGACAGGCCAAAUUUUCCUGCACACGGAGAUCACUCUGUGUAGACCCUUAAACUGGGGGCCGUCUGCCCUCGUCCUCAUAGCCAUGAGCUGUCUUACUGCCACCCCACAGUGGCCGCUCCUUGGCUCAGCAGAGCUGCUGACACCAGUGCACUCAGAGGAUGUCACUCACCUCGGGGUUCCAGAGCCCCAAGAGGAGGGGCAGGAGGCCCAGGGUGAAGGUGCAGUCUCAUGCGGCCAAGGCAGUAGGCUUCUGGUCCCUCCCCUGUUCUUGCCAGCAGCAAACUCUGCCUUCCUUGAACAUGGCAUCAUGGUGCCUCUAGCCCCCGGCUCCUGGGACCCUCUGUGCUCAAUAUUUCAUUAGAGCCUGGGUGAUUAGCACCCUCUUCCCUAUGGGGCAACAGAGACCUGGUUUGGUCCAGUGUCACCUGACUGUGAGCUGGUAGCAAAGACUUCACUUCAAGCCUACUGGUAACGAUGCUGCAGGCUGUCUCAGGGUGGUGUCAUUUCUUCCUACUGUAUCCUCCUUGGCAGCAGUUGGGGAGUGUUUCCUGGCAGGUAGAAGCUAUCCAGGCUCUGGGCAUGUCCUUCUUCUCUCCCAUAGCUGAUUCUCGGUGUGGCCUUAGUGAUAGGAUCUCAGCUUUACCCAGAAAUGCGUUACUUCUGCGUGGCCACUACAUUGUGUCCACACAUCCUUCCCUCCCCUGUUCCUUGCUGUACGUAACAGACACUUGCUAUGUGCCUAUGCUGUGCUAAGCAUCACACUCAGUGCCAGGGUGAAGCAAAGGAGUUCAAGUCCAGAGGAGCAGUGCUCACAGAUGUGCAUCCUCACUGCUUUCUUUAGACAAGCUGCCUUGCCGGAGUGGUCACACCAGAAGAGCCACUUGCCUUGAUGCUGUGGCUGUCUUGGGUUUGUGAUGCUGCCUCUGGACUGGGCCAUGAAUACCUCGGGGACCUCAGAGAUUGCUGCUACUAAGAUAUCCUUGGUCAGCUUUGGAUGUCACUUCCAGUGGCCCUAUGGUUUUGAAGGUAGCAUAGUGCCCGGCGUCCUCAUUGGGGGAUUUCCUUCUCUGAUCACAUACAUUACUCGGGACAGAUAGAUGCUGAGAGGACCGCGGUCUGCAGUCCCUGCUACCUGUGUCACACAGGUGCCUCCUUCUCUGGUGCCUUUGGGUCUGCUCAGCGGGGGGUGGCCCUGGUCAUUAGCACACUGGAUGGGCUCCCAACUGGUCUUGUUCCACUGUCCUGAGCACAUGGUCCUCUACGUACACACAGAGCAGCCAGAUCCUGAUUUGGGUGAGGAUGACAGAAGUCUCAAACUCAUCCCUGACAUGUUUUCACAGUGGUGUGGACUCCAGGGUCUCAGCCCCUGGAAGCCGCGGGACGCACCUUAGACUGCACCCCAGGGUCUGGCUCUAUUCCUCUGUCCUCCAGUGACCCAUAGGGUCCUUAUGAGUACAAAGAAGCAGCUUCCUCAAGAGAGGUGACAGGGAUAGGGCAGGCACAGGUCUCUUCAUAAACAGGACCCAGUGCAUGAGUAAAUGAGGAUAUGGAGCUGGAAAAGGCAAAUGAUUAAACAUUAUUUAGUAGGAAAAACAUAGUUUUCUUCUUCUCCAUAUAAAGAGAGUGGAUUUACAUUGGAAUCCAAGAGCAACAAGCCUCGGAAAUCUGCGAGUCAUUUCCUAAUCCUGAACAGAAUGUAUUUGAUUACACGUAUUUUAUGCUCCCUUCUAUAACUGGGGGAGUGGACACAGGAACAUCUGGGGUCCAUUUUCCAGAGACAAAUGUGACUUCUGUGAGUGCACAUGUGGCCAUGUGAGGACGAUCAUCACUAAGCAGAAUGUUCUCCUUUUGGCUGCUAACUCUCCAUGUUUUGGGGGUUUGGGAGGCACGAGGGAGGACACAGCACAUGGCCAGCCCCUCAGGAAUGUCCAGAUCUACUGAUAGUUGUCUGGACAUCCCUGCUGCCCAGGGCUCAAGGAGAAAAGCAUCAAGAUUCUGCCUCAUGGUGUACUCGUAGUGCUGACUACAUCAGCCAGUGUGCACAGCCAGCGCUGCCAGGUUUCCUCGAACCUGGACCCUCAGGUCCAGGCCCAGCGCAUGCGGUGACCUCUCCACUGCUCUCCUUGUCCACUGUACUCUGUUCUCAACCUCGAGCUACUGGCAUGCUGGGACGGUGACAUCAGAGCACUUCAUUCCCCUGCACAAAAUCCUCUGAUGGCUCCCAUCAUGCUCAGAAGAAAAUCCAUCCCCUCCCUGGUGGCCCAGGAGGUGUCCACUCCUUCCCCACAUCUUUGCUUUGUCCCUGCCUCCCACCACACCACACCUUUGCUCUGUCCCUUCCAGCAGCACAGGUAUCCUUGGCGUUUCUCACACACACUCAGCUCAUUCUCUCCUUGGACCUUCACCCUAUUCCUGCUCCUUACAGGUCACCUCCCCUCACUCAGGUUCCUCAGUGUCACCUCCUCAAGGUGACCUUCCCUGAAUGUCUCCUAGGAGAGCUCCCUUCUCCAACCCUACUUUGCAGCAGGCCUCAGAACAGCACCCGAUCGCUGCUUCUUACUUUUCUUCCCUGUCUCCCUAACCUUGGAGGCACUCAUGAGGAUGGGCUUUGUCCAGUUCACAGCGCUCGCCAGGCUUCUAGAAUGUUCCUUGCUCCGAGAGGGUCUGAUGGAUGAAGAAGGAACAGCAAAUACGACCCCGCUCUGCUGGUGGUGGCAGACUCAGUAGGAUGCUUCGAAAACACCACUAAGAGCUAUUUUUCUCAUUAACCAUUAAUAGGAAAUUGUUAAAAGUUAAAAAAAUACCAAUCAGG
ensembl:lncRNA